rnacentral:rRNA from 1 species
UACGUAGGUGGCAAGCGUUAUCCGGAUUUACUGGGUGUAAAGGGCGUGUAGGCGGGGACGCAAGUCAGAUGUGAAAACCACGGGCUCAACCAUUGUAUGCAUUGGAAACUACCGGGCUGGAGUGCCGGAGAGGUAGGCGGAAUUCCUGGUGUAGCGGUGAAAUGCGUAGAUAUCAGGAGGAACACCAGUGGCGAAGGCGGCCUACUGGACGGUGACUGACGCUGAGGCUCGAAAGCGUGGGGAGCAAACAGG